rnacentral:RNase_P_RNA from 1 species
AGAGUGGAUUGAGUGAUCGCUUGCAUUGCGAGAGGAAAGUCCGAACUCCAAAGGGAAAGAUACUGGAUAACAUCCAGGUGUCGUGAGGCAACGGAAAGUGCCACAGAAAAUAACCGCCUUUAAUAAACAUAUGAUAUUAAAGGUAAGGGUGAAAAGGUGGUGUAAGAGACCACCGUUUUUUUUGGUGACAAGAAAAGGCUAGGCAAACCCUAUCUGGAGCAAGACCAAGUAAAGAAGCUGUUAUCCCUUACAUAGGCUUCUGGGUGGGUCGCUUGAAGCUGCAAGUAAUUGCAUGCUCAGAUAAAUGAUCACAUAAAACAGAAUUCGGCUUACUAAUCCACUCUUCUU